GAAGAGCUCAAAUUUAAAAUCUGGCGGCCUUCUGGACGUCCGAGUUGUAGUCUGGAGAAGUGUUAUCCGCGUCGGACCGUGUACAAGUCUCCUGGAACGGAGCGUCGUAGAGGGUGAGAAUCCCGUCCAUGACACGGACGCCCGAUGCUAUGUGAGGCACUCUCAAAGAGUCGAGUUGUUUGGGAAUGCAGCUCAAAAUGGGUGGUAAAUUCCAUCUAAAGCUAAAUAUUGGCGAGAGACCGAUAGCGAACAAGUACCGUGAGGGAAAGAUGAAAAGCACUUUGGAAAGAGAGUUAAACAGUACGUGAAAUUGUUGAAAGGGAAACGCUUGAAGUCAGUCGCGUCCCGCGGAACUCAGCCUGGUUUCGACCUGGUGUACUUUCCAUGUGGACGGGUCAACAUCAAUUUCGGCCGGUGGACAAGGGCGAGGGGAAUGUAGCGUUGCUUCGGCGACGUGUUAUAGCCCCCCGUCGUAUACACUGGUUGGGAUUGAGGACCGCAGCACGCCCUUGUGGCCGGGGGUUCGCCCCACGUAACGUGCUUAGGAUGUUGGCAUAAUGGCUUUAAGCGACCCGUCUUGAAACACGGACCAAGGAGUCUAACAUGCUUGCGAGUGUUCGGGUGGAAAACCCUUGCGCGUAAUGAAAGUGAAAGUUGGGAACCUCCGCGAGGGGGUGCACCGACGCCCGGCCCUGACGUUCUCUGACGGUGCCGCGGUAGAGCACGUAUGUUGGGACCCGAAAGAUGGUGAACUAUGCCUGAAUAGGGCGAAGCCAGAGGAAACUCUGGUGGAGGCUCGUAGCGAUUCUGACGUGCAAAUCGAUCGUCAAAUUUGGGUAUAGGGGCGAAAGACUAAUCGA
rnacentral:rRNA from 1 species